rnacentral:rRNA from 1 species
GGUUAAGCGACUAAGCGUACACGGUGGAUGCCCCGGCAGUCAGAGGCGAUGAAGGACGUGCUAAUCUGCGAUAAGCGUCGGUAAGGUGAUAUGAACCGUUAUAACCGGCGAUUUCCGAAUGGGGAAACCCAGUGUGUUUCGACACACUAUCAUUAACUGAAUCCAUAGGUUAAUGAGGCGAACCGGGGGAACUGAAACAUCUAAGUACCCCGAGGAAAAGAAAUCAACCGAGAUUCCCCCAGUAGCGGCGAGCGAACGGGGAGGAGCCCAGAGCCUGAAUCAGUGUGUGUGUUAGUGGAAGCGUCUGGAAAGGCGCGCGAUACAGGGUGACAGCCCCGUACACAAAAAUGCACAUACUGUGAGCUCGAUGAGUAGGGCGGGACACGUGGUAUCCUGUCUGAAUAUGGGGGACCAUCCUCCAAGGCUAAAUACUCCUGACUGACCGAUAGUGAACCAGUACCGUGAGGGAAAGGCGAAAAGAACCCCGGCGAGGGGAGUGAAAAAGAACCUGAAACCGUGUACGUACAAGCAGUGGGAGCCUCUUUUAUGGGGUGACUGCGUACCUUUUGUAUAAUGGGUCAGCGACUUAUAUUCUGUAGCAAGGUUAACCGAAUAGGGGAGCCGAAGGGAAACCGAGUCUUAACUGGGCGUUAAGUUGCAGGGUAUAGACCCGAAACCCGGUGAUCUAGCCAUGGGCAGGUUGAAGGUUGGGUAACACUAACUGGAGGACCGAACCGACUAAUGUUGAAAAAUUAGCGGAUGACUUGUGGCUGGGGGUGAAAGGCCAAUCAAACCGGGAGAUAGCUGGUUCUCCCCGAAAGCUAUUUAGGUAGCGCCUCGUGAAUUCAUCUCCGGGGGUAGAGCACUGUUUCGGCAAGGGGUCAUCCCGACUUACCAACCCGAUGCAAACUGCGAAUACCGGAGAAUGUUAUCACGGGAGACACACGGCGGGUGCUAACGUCCGUCGUGAAGAGGGAAACAACCCAGACCGCCAGCUAAGGUCCCAAAGUCAUGGUUAAGUGGGAAACGAUGUGGGAAGGCCCAGACAGCCGGGAUGUUGGCUUAGAAGCAGCCAUCAUUUAAAGAAAGCGUAAUAGCUCACUGGUCGAGUCGGCCUGCGCGGAAGAUGUAACGGGGCUAAACCAUGCACCGAAGCUGCGGCAGCGACGCUUAUGCGUUGUUGGGUAGGGGAGCGUUCUGUAAGCCUGUGAAGGUGUACUGUGAGGUAUGCUGGAGGUAUCAGAAGUGCGAAUGCUGACAUAAGUAACGAUAAAGCGGGUGAAAAGCCCGCUCGCCGGAAGACCAAGGGUUCCUGUCCAACGUUAAUCGGGGCAGGGUGAGUCGACCCUAAGGCGAGGCCGAAAGGCGUAGUCGAUGGGAAACAGGUUAAUAUUCCUGUACUUGGUGUUACUGCGAAGGGGGACGGAGAAGGCUAUGUUAGUAGGGCGACGGUUGUCCCGGUUUAAGCGUGUAGGCUGGUUUUCCGUGCAAAUCCGGAAAAUCAAGGCUGAGGCGUGAUGACGAGGCACUACGGUGCUGAAGCAACAAAUGCCCUGCUUCCGGGAAAAGCCUCUAAGCAUCAGGUAACAUCAAAUCGUACCCCAAACCGACACAGGUGGUCAGGUAGAGAAUACCAAGGCGCUUGAGAGAACUCGGGUGAAGGAACUAGGCAAAAUGGUGCCGUAACUUCGGGAGAAGGCACGCUGAUAUGUAGGUGAAGCGACUUGCUCGUGGAGCUGAAAUCAGUCGAAGAUACCAGCUGGCUGCAACUGUUUAUUAAAAACACAGCACUGUGCAAACACGAAAGUGGACGUAUACGGUGUGACGCCUGCCCGGUGCCGGAAGGUUAAUUGAUGGGGUUAGCGGUAACGCGAAGCUCUUGAUCGAAGCCCCGGUAAACGGCGUACCGUAACUAUAACGGUCCUAAGGUAGCGAAAUUCCUUGUCGGGUAAGUUCCGACCUGCACGAAUGGCGUAAUGAUGGUACGAGCUGUCUCCACCCGAGACUCAGUGAAAUUGAACUCGCUGUGAAGAUGCAGUGUACCCGCGGCAAGACGGAAAGACCCCGUGAACCUUUACUAUAGCUUGACACUGAACAUUGAGCCUUGAUGUGUAGGAUAGGUGGGAGGCUUUGAAGUGUGGACGCCAGUCUGCAUGGAGCCGACCUUGAAAUACCACCCUUUAAUGUUUGAUGUUCUAACGUUGGCCCCUGAUCGGGGUUGCGGACAGUGUCUGGUGGGUAGUUUGACUGGGGCGGUCUCCUCCUAAAGAGUAACGGAGGAGCACGAAGGUUGGCUAAUCCUGGUCGGACAUCAGGAGGUUAGUGCAAUGGCAUAAGCCAGCUUGACUGCGAGCGUGACGGCGCGAGCAGGUGCGAAAGCAGGUCAUAGUGAUCCGGUGGUUCUGAAUGGAAGGGCCAUCGCUCAACGGAUAAAAGGUACUCCGGGGAUAACAGGCUGAUACCGCCCAAGAGUUCAUAUCGACGGCGGUGUUUGGCACCUCGAUGUCGGCUCAUCACAUCCUGGGGCUGAAGUAGGUCCCAAGGGUAUGGCUGUUCGCCAUUUAAAGUGGUACGCGAGCUGGGUUUAGAACGUCGUGAGACAGUUCGGUCCCUAUCUGCCGUGGGCGCUGGAGAACUGAGGGGGCUGCUCCUAGUACGAGAGGACCGGAGUGGACGCAUCACUGGUGUUCGGGUUGUCAUGCCAAUGGCACUGCCCGGUAGCUAAAUGCGGAAGAGAUAAGUGCUGAAAGCAUCUAAGCACGAAACUUGCCCCGAGAUGAGUUCUCCCUGAGACUUUAAGUCUCCUGAAGGAACGUUGAAGACGACGACGUUGAUAGGCCGGGUGUGUAAGCGCAGCGAUGCGUUGAGCUAACCGGUACUAAUGAACCGUGAGGCUUAACCUU